AGGCUGGUUGAAUGAGUUGUCUAUGAAAGCUACUUCAUCUGUAAGAAAACAGGCGGCUGCACCAGUGACUGUAAGUUAUGUGAUUUCCUCAUAUGAAAUUAAAAGUAUGUUUGUAGCCUACGCAGUUAUAAAAUGGCUGUUGAAACUGUGGCACAUAUUUCUCAGUACAUUAGAAGUCAGAUAAAUGUGUUGAGAUGUAGGAAAGAUAGGCAAACUCUCGUUGGUCUUGGCUUUCUACACACGAUAAGGUUAGUCGAUGUCAGACAUUCAAUAGUCAGAGUAGGUUUGAGUUAUGAUCACUUAUCAUGCUGACAAACCUGAUGGUCUCUGUGAACUGAUCUGAACAGGUUUAGACUGGUCAUCUAUGAUAUGUAGGUUAUAUACAGUACAUUCUCUGUCCUGCUACUGGUAGGACUAUAACAUUAUGUGAACUGAUCUGAACAGGUUUAGGCUGGUCAUCUAUGAUAUGUAGGCUAUAGCUGAGGUAUAGACCUUGAUCUGCAUAUCACUAACAACCCACUACUAUACAUUAUAACCUAGUCUACUUUACAUAAUAUAACAUCUACAUAUCACUAACAACCC
ensembl:lncRNA